rnacentral:misc_RNA from 1 species
GGGCUAAGGCGGCGAUUGUGCCUGGAUUGAUAUCUUUAAUUGUUGUGCCUUUGCUUUUGUAUAUAAUUUAUCCGCCCACGGUGAAGAGCAGCCCAGAUGCGCCUAAGUUGGCUAGGGAGAGGUUGGAGAAGAUGGGGCCAAUGACCAAGAAUGAGAUUAUUAUGGCUGGCAGUCUGCUUCUUACGGUGGGCCUCUGGAUUUUUGGAUCAAAGCUGAACAUUGAUGCUGUUACUGCUGCUAUUCUUGGAUUAUCUGUGCUCCUUAUUACUGGUGUGGUGACAUGGAAGGAGUGCUUAGCUGAAGCAGUAGCUUGGGAUACCCUCACAUGGUUUGCUGCCCUCAUUGCUAUGGCUGGGUAUCUCAAUAAGUAUGGUCUAAUCUCUUGGUUCAGCCAAACUGUAGUUAAGUUUGUUGGUGGCCUGGGUCUUUCAUGGCAG